rnacentral:rRNA from 1 species
AAUGACGUCAUGCGCGGCAGGCCUAACACAUGCAAGUCGAGCGGAAACGAUGGAGCUUGCUCCAGGCGUCGAGCGGCGGACGGGUGAGUAAUGCAUAGGAAUCUGCCCGGUAGUGGGGGAUAACCUGGGGAAACCCAGGCUAAUACCGCAUACGUCCUACGGGAGAAAGCAGGGGAUCUUCGGACCUUGCGCUAUCGGAUGAGCCUAUGUCGGAUUAGCUUGUUGGUGAGGUAAUGGCUCACCAAGGCGACGAUCCGUAGCUGGUCUGAGAGGAUGAUCAGCCACAUCGGGACUGAGACACGGCCCGAACUCCUACGGGAGGCAGCAGUGGGGAAUAUUGGACAAUGGGCGAAAGCCUGAUCCAGCCAUGCCGCGUGUGUGAAGAAGGCUUUCGGGUUGUAAAGCACUUUCAGUGAGGAAGAAGGCCUUGGGGCUAAUACCCCCGAGGAAGGACAUCACUCACAGAAGAAGCACCGGCUAACUCCGUGCCAGCAGCCGCGGUAAUACGGAGGGUGCGAGCGUUAAUCGGAAUUACUGGGCGUAAAGCGCGCGUAGGCGGCGUGAUAAGCCGGUUGUGAAAGCCCGGGGCUCAACCUGGGAACGGCAUCCGGAACUGUCAGGCUAGAGUGCAGGAGAGGAAGGUAGAAUUCCCGGUGUAGCGGUGAAAUGCGUAGAGAUCGGGGAGGAAUACCAGUGGGCGAAGGCGGGCCUUCUGGGACCUGACACCUGACCGCCUGAGGGUGCCGAAAAGCGGUGGGGUAUGCNAAACAGGGGAAUUAAGAAUACCCCGUGGGUAUGUUCCACCGCCCGGUAAACCAGANUG